ensembl:lncRNA
CCCCCUCUCUCUCAUAUAUGUAUGUAUAUACACGUCCUCAAACCAGACAUUUGGGUUUUAACCAAAGCAAAUAAAUCCUAUCUCAUUGUUACUAUGUUAUUUUAUUCAUGCAGUCACAAAUUCAGACCACUUCCCAUUCCCAUUUGUCAGUGCGAGGGAUUUCAUCCAAUCACGUUUCAUUCUCCGUGCCGCUCCAGUCUGUGCUCCGCCAGGUGCAUCAUGGGGAUUGGCUAAUCAAAUUUACAUUUCUACGAGGAGGGCUUAAUCUACUGGAAACAUCAGUGACUCUCUGGGUUAGUUUGAUAGCCUAUAACGUGACGGUUAAUGACAGCAAACCUAAGAAGGGGAAGUAUAGGCUUAUUUACCCCACUGGGGCAGUUAAGAAGGGUAAGUAUAGGCUUAUUCACUUCACAGAAGUAGUUCCGUUCACGCAAACCACAUUCUGCUUGGAUAAAUGAUGACAAAUAAACAAUAUGCAGAAUUCAUCUUUUCUCGUAGUGCAAUUGCUUUGAUACUAAUUGAGUGUGAUUGUAGCCUAGGCUAUAACUUGCAGCAUAGGUUAUGCAAGAAACAUGGGUUCACAACGAUCUAGCUAGCAACCGUAAACAGUGCCUGCGUGUUUUCCUUUUCGUCUUGAAAAGUGUGUGUUUAUAAGACACACUUAAGUUUCAUUCUUCAGUCUUUAGUCUAGUUCCUUAGUUUCAGGUGUUCAAGCAGGACAUUUCAUAUGUCAACCUAUGGGGUACAUUAGGCAUUACUUGCGUUUCUAACAUGCUACUGAAAACAUGCGGCAGUAAGUUUCAAAUUCGUUCAGUAAAAUGAAUUCUUUCUGGACACCAGGCUAGUAAGAAAAAAAUCCUUGCGGGAACCCAGACACACACACAUCCAGUCAAGCAUAUUCUCACCCCCUCUCUCUCCCACACGGGCGCGCACACACACACACACACCGAAAUACCACAAACAUGCCAACCACUAGUAGGUUCACCCACAGUAAACAUGCCUAACAUACUCAGAGGCACAGAAGUCCCUGUGGACUGGAACCCAACAGGAACAUUUUAUAAUGGCCCAUUACGGACAGAACACCAUUUGAGACCGAUGUCAGUGGAAUUCAGUCUCACUCAGUUUCACUCAGUUUCAUGUUGGCAUAGGUUACAGUAGCUAACUGAUGAAAUUCAGUCUCACUCAGUUUCAUGUUGGCAUGGUUACAGUAGCUAAUUGAGAAGUCAGCCCAUGGUGGGUGACUGGGAGCCAAGACAUUUCAUUCCUGAAUUUUGCAAUCUUGCAAAUAAAAUUCAAGGACUCAAAGAACUUUCACGUAUUACCACAAUAUUGCCACGUCAUGGGAUUUUUUGCAUUAUUUAUGAUAGAAAAAAAAAAAACUUUUCAAAAUCACUGCAUUUUAAACUGCACUGUUUGAGAAUUACCACAUCAAAUUCAGUUUUUGUCACAACAAAUUACAAGAGAUCCUUGCAAGGUCCUGGUUGGACAGAUCAGCUAUCUUACACACAAGAUAAGGGCAGGAAAGUCCAGAGCCCAAGUUUGGAGCCAGACUUGUAUCUGUCCAAUGCGUUCUAUCUGCAUUCUUCCACAGAGAUAUCUAUAAGUUGAAGUUCCGUGUCAAUGGUACGACACAACGCAAUAAAUCCCAAUACUGCAGUUUGCAGAGGACUGUGUGGGUUUCGUUUGCAUUUACCAAUCCAUCAACCAUCUGAGGCGUCCACCUGGUAAAGAAUUCCCGGUAAUGUAUCAGUACCUCCUGACCACAUCGCAAUCUCUAUGUCUCGACAAGUAGCAGCUGCAACUGUAGUAUUCAACUCCGCCUUCGAGUUUUGCCAGUAUCUGGGCCUUCUCACCUGAUUGGUUGAUCCAUGUUCCUGAGGCAUGAUGGGUAGUUCUCAGUUGGCCGUGGGAGGUCCUGCUGAGAUGGAGGGUGCUGAUGGUCUGAAGAUGACUGACCCGUCACGCUCAGCAAGGUCACGCUCAGCAAGGUCACGCUCAGCAAGGUCACGCUCAGCAAGGCACCAUGGGCGGCACUUCAGCACCGCCGGGAGAAGGGAGCCUGGAACGGUUAACAUGAGCAUUUCAGUGUGGUCAGGGAGACAUAUGAUAUAAUAACUGAGCAAAAAUGUGAAUUAAUAUAAAGGCAAGAUGUGAUUUCCUUUUAUUAUUAGUUCGAAAGAUAAAACUUUUUAGUAUAAUUGCACUUUGCCCUUAUAUCACAUCACUGCAAAAGUCAACUACUGGUAUCUGUUCACUUCAUUGACAACGUCCUACAAGCAAUUCUGACCUACUGAGAGACUACGCGGAAAAAAUUAUCAACUCUUUCAGAUCCACUUCAUUCAUACAUACAUACAUACAGUCAACACGUCAUCAUAUUUGACAAGGCAUGUUUUGACAUAGUACACCUUAUCACAAUGAAUUAUUGUUUUUUUAAAAUCACAAUAUAAUGUUAUAGUUGCAAUUGGAAGCCUU